rnacentral:rRNA from 1 species
UACGGGGGGAGCAACCGUUGUUCGGAAUCACUGGGCGUAAAGGGCGUGUAGGCGGUUCGGUAAGUGGAAUGUGAAAUCCCCCGGCUUACCCGGGGAACUGCAUCCCAUACUGCUGGACUUGAGUGCGGGAGAGGAUGGAGGAAUUCCUGGUGUAGCGGUGAAAUGCGCAGAUAUCAGGAAGAACACCCGUGGCGAAGGCGGUUCUCUGGGACGGUACUGACGCUGAGGAGCGAAAGCGUGGGGAGCGAACGGG